UACGUAGGGUGCGAGCGUUAAUCGGAAUUACUGGGCGUAAAGCGUGCGCAGGCGGUUUUGUAAGCCAGAUGUGAAAUCCCCGGGCUUAACCUGGGAAUGGCAUUUGGGACUGCAAGGCUGGAGUGCGGCAGAGGAGACUGGAAUUCCCGGUGUAGCAGUGAAAUGCGUAGAUAUCGGGAGGAAUACCGAUGGCGAAGGCAGGUCUCUGGGCUGACACUGACGCUCAUGCACGAAAGCGUGGGGAGCAAACAGG
rnacentral:rRNA from 1 species